AGAGUUUGAUCCUGGCUCAGAACGAACGCUGGCGGUAUGCCUAAUACAUGCAAGUCGAACGCGAAAGUUCAGCAAUGGAAGAGUAGAGUGGCGCACGGGUGAGUAACACGUGGGUGACCUUCCCUUUUGACUGGGAUAACCCUGAGAAAUCGGGGCUAAUACCGGGUAAGAACAACGGUUUUGAAUAUAGUUGUUGAAAGUAGUGCCUCUAUUUAUAAGCACUAGCUGAAGGAUGGGCCUGCGGGGUAUUAGCUAGUUGGUAAGGUAAUGGCUUACCAAGGCUACGAUACCUAGCUGAUCUGAGAGGAUGAUCAGCCACACUGGAACUGAGACACGGUCCAGACUCCUACGGGAGGCAGCAGUAGGGAAUAUUGCGCAAUGGGCGAAAGCCUGACGCAGCAAUACCGCGUGAGUGAGGAAGGCCUUCGGGUUGUAAAGCUCUGUCGGGGUGGAAAAACGGCUAUUGGUCGAACAGGCCAAUAGAGUGAUGGUACACCC
rnacentral:rRNA from 1 species